rnacentral:rRNA from 1 species
CACUCUAAUGGGACUGCCGGUGACAAACCGGAGGAAAGGUGGGGGAUGACGUCAAGUCCUCAUGGCCCUUAUAGGUGGGGCUACACACGUCAUACAAUGGCCGGUACAGAGGGUAGCCAACCCGCGAGGGGGAGCCAAUCCCACAAAGCCGGUCGUAGUCCGGAUCGCAGUCUGCAACUCGACUACGUGAAGUCGGAAUCGCUAGUAAUCGCAGAUCAGCAUGCUGCGGUGAAUACGUUCCCGGGCCUU